GGUCCUAAACUUGCCGUUGUUUUCAAUCAAGAUUAUACAUGCAAGCCUCUACACGCCAGUGAGAAUGCCCACAAACCCUUAAAACAGGGCACCGGAGCGGGUAUCAGGUCCAACCCCGUUCGCCUAAGACACCUUGCCACGCCACCCCCACACGGGUUUUCAGCAGUAAUUAACAUUAAUACAUGAACGAAAGUUCGACUUGGCUAUGAUAAAUGAAAGUCGGUAAAUUCCGUGCCAGCCACCGCGGUUAUACGAAAGACUUAAAACAACCGCCCUCGGCGUAAAGAGUGGCCAGAAAAGCCUCCCCCACUUAAAGAUAAACUACCACAAAGCCGUAAAACGCUACUACGAGUAUGAAUUAAGCAGCCUUUAAACCAAGGACUUUCCACGACCCCACGAAAGCCAAGAAACAACUGGGAUUAGAUACCCCACUAUGCUUGACCCUUAACACAGACAAUACCAACACAAUAUUGUUCGCCAGAGAACUACAAGCGGAAAGCUCGAAACUCUAAGGACUUGGCGGUGCUCCAUACCGACCUAGAGGAGCCUGUCCUAUAAUCGAUACCCCACGAUUUACCCCACCAUUCUUUGCCCUUCAGCCUAUAUACCGCCGUCGUCAGCUUACCUUAUAAAAGAACAGCAGUGAGCACAAUAGUAAACAACAAAUACGUCAGGUCAAGGUGUAGCACAUGGAGUGGAAGAGAUGGGCUACAUUUUCUACCACAGGACACACGAAUGGUAUAAUGAAACAUAUACCUAAAGGCGGAUUUAGCAGUAAGAUAGACAAGUAAUGCCACCUAAAACCCGCUCUGGAGCGCGCACACACCGCCCGUCACCCUCCUCACAACACACAACAAAACCAUAUAAAUAUAAACAUCCCCAAUAGAUGAGGCAAGUCGUAACAAG
rnacentral:ncRNA from 1 species